CGCGUAGGCGGUUUUCUAAGUCAGAUGUGAAAGCCCGGGGCUUAACCCCGGAAGUGCAUCUGAUACUGGAUAACUUGAGUAUGGGAGAGGGAAGUGGAAUUCCUGGUGUAGCGGUGAAAUGCGUAGAUAUCAGGAGGAACACCGGUGGCGAAGGCGACUUCCUGGACCAAUACUGACGCUGAGGCGCGAAGGCGUGGGGAGCAAACA
rnacentral:rRNA from 1 species